UCGUUUCUUACUCAAAUCCAUUUCCGUACUCCAACAAGCAAUCGCCGCCUGCUGCACGCUGAUGCAGACCAUCGCCAUGCGAAUCGAAGCUGUCGCCCUCACCGUCGCUGCUGCCCAUGCACAAGGCCGUGGCAUUAAUUGGACGUGCUGGCUCAGGGGUGAGUGUUGAGCGACAGCGUGGGGUUUUGCGAGGGACGGACCAUGGAUUCGGGUCGGCCAUGGACACCAUCCGGACAACUGUGAAGUCGCUCGACUCCACGGCAACCCACACGCUUGGAUUGAUGCAGCAGCUGGAGUGGACCUCGCGGUGGCGACGGUGGUGGGGUUGAUGAAGCCGACGCUGGCGGAGAAGGAAGCUUCAAGUGAGGCAAGUAGGAAAAGUGUAAGAUCAAGUUACUGAAACAAGAACCAUCCUCUUCUGCUGGAAACUAUGUGCCCAGAAACACAAACAAGGUGAGCAGGUGACAGUGGCUAGCCUGCGACAAGGUCCAUGAGUGGAAGGUUGAUGGAAGAGCCCCACUCGGUUCAUGUGGUUAGUAGGUCUGCAAGAACAAGUUGAGAACAAGUCUCUUCACAAUUAUUAGGAGUUGCUGCACGUGUUGAUCAAUUAUUGGCUCUGCCAUUUGUGUUUUCUGCAAACUGAGAGAAAAAAAUGUUUUUGUAUUGGAGAAUAAAUUUAAAAAAUAUUUAUUUGAUUUUUGGUGCCUAA